GACGAACGCUGGCGGCGUGCUUAACACAUGCAAGUCGAACGAAGUGGCGAACGGGUGAGUAACGCGUAAUCAACCUGCUCUUCAGAGGGGUACAACAGUUGGAAACGACUGCUAAUACCGCAUACUGCAGUAGGUGAUUUCGGCUGAUUAGGUAGUUGGAGGGGGAACGGCCCACCAAGGCGAUGAUCAGUAGCCGGUCUUAGAGGGUGGACGGCCAAAAUGGGACUUGGGAAAGGGCCAAACCCAUACGGGAGGCCGCAGUGGGGAAUCUUCCGAAAUUGACGAAAGUCUGACGGAGGAACGCCGCGUGAGUGAUGACGGCCUUCGGGUUGUAAAGCUCUGUUAAUCGGGACGCGGUACCGGAAUAGAAAGCCACGGCUAACUACGUGCCAGCAGCCGCGGUAAUAC
rnacentral:rRNA from 1 species